CAAAGGCUUGGUCCUGACUUUACUAUCAGCUUUGGCUAAGCUUAUACAUGCAAGUAUCCGCACCCCUGUGAGAAUGCCCCACAGUCCUCCGCCCGAGAACAAGGAGCAGGUAUCAGGCACAAUCCUAGAUUAGCCCACAACACCUUGCCUAGCCACACCCCCACGGGAACUCAGCAGUGAUAAACAUUAAGCCAUGAGCGAAAGCUUGACUUAGUGAAAGCCAAGAGGGUUGGUAAAACUCGUGCCAGCCACCGCGGUUAUACGAGAAACCCGAGUUGAUAGCCACCGGCGUAAAGGGUGGUUAAGACAACCUAAUAACUAAAGCCGAACCCCCUCAAAGCUGUUAUACGCAUUACCCCUGAGGGCGGGAAGUUCAACCACGAAAGUGGCUUUAAUAUUAUCUGAGCCCACGAAAGCUAGGGCACAAACUGGGAUUAGAUACCCCACUAUGCCUAGCCAUAAACAAUGAUAGCACCUAACAUCCGCUAUCCGCCCGGGUACUACGAGCACUAGCUUAAAACCCAAAGGACUUGGCGGUGCUUUAGAUCCACCUAGAGGAGCCUGUUCUAGAACCGAUACCCCCCGUUAAACCUCACCCUUCCUUGCCCCGCAGCCUAUAUACCGCCGUCGUCAGUCUACCCUGUGAAGGAAUACCAGUAGGCAAAAUCGGCACAGCCCAAAACGUCAGGUCGAGGUGUAGCCUAUGGAAGGGGAACAAAUGGGCUACAUUCCCUGACACAGGGUACACGGAUGACACACUGAAACGUGGGUCUAAAGGAGGAUUUAGCAGUAAGCAGGAAAUAGAGUGUCCCGCUGAAAUUGGCCCUGAAGCGCGCACACACCGCCCGUCACUCUCCCCGAAAACAUCUCAACCUAAUAACUAAAACAUUACUAGCAUAGAGGGGAGGCAAGUCGUAACAUGGUAAGUGUACCGGAAGGUGCACUUGGAACAAAU
rnacentral:ncRNA from 1 species